rnacentral:rRNA from 1 species
AAUUUUAUCAUUUCACUGAGGAAAGGAA